AUUUGAUGGAGGGCAGAGGAAGAGAACCAUAAAUUUUCCUUGGAAGACAAAUAGGGAGAAAAUGGACCUUCCAAAUAUUACCAUCUUAAUUUAGAGGCAGUGUAAGGGUCUAUGUUGUUGUACAAGGAAGAGGAAAACACAGUUUCUGAUCCCUCCUAUUAACUUCACUUGUUUUGGGAUAAUUUAGAAGGAACAUGUUAUGAUAACAAGGGGAAUAGGAAUGUGAGAAUGUAUGGGAGGAAAUUAUUGUAUAAAUAGGGUAACAUUGUAACUAAU
rnacentral:misc_RNA from 1 species